rnacentral:rRNA from 1 species
GAUUAAAUUAGAGGAGCUUGUAUUAUAGUAAUUACUCUUUAUAUUUUAAUAAUUAGUGCUUAUUUAUUUCCGUUAUUAGAUUAAGGUUGUAUAAGUUUAUACUAAAAUUUCAGGUCAAUAUGUAGCGAUAAUUAGAAAGUAUUAGCUACAAUUAUAAAGUAAUGGAUUUUAAGAAUUGGAAAUUUGAGUGAAAUUGAAUUUAGUUGUAAUAUAUUUUAGGAAGGUUAUAUGAAAUUUUUAUUUAGUGUACAUAUUGCCCGUCACUUCUCUUAAAAAAGAGGAUAAGUCGUAACAAAGUA